UACGUAGGGUGCAAGCGUUGUCCGGAAUUAUUGGGCGUAAAGAGCUCGUAGGCGGUUUGUCGCGUCGAAUGUGAAAUCCCGGGGCUCAACCCCGGGUCUGCAUUCGAUACGGGCAGACUAGGGUUCGGUAGGGGAGUCUGGAAUUCCUGGUGUAGCGGUGAAAUGCGCAGAUAUCAGGAGGAACACCGGUGGCGAAGGCGGGACUCUGGGCCGAUACUGACGCUGAGGAGCGAAAGCGUGGGGAGCAAACAGG
rnacentral:rRNA from 1 species